rfam:Pseudomonas sp. 5 contig9, whole genome shotgun sequence.
GCGAGUGUGGUGGAAUUGGUAUACACAGCAGACUUAAAAUCUGCCGGCGUGAGCCUUGCGGGUUCGAGUCCCGCCACUCGCA